rnacentral:tRNA from 1 species
GCCGAGGUGGCUCAGCCUGGAGGUUUCGCUUGCGAAUGCAAGCAACCGGGUGUUUAGAGCGCUGCGCUCAUAACGCAGAGGUCGCGGGUUCGAAUCCCGCCCCCGGCA